UGGCCUUGACAUACUAAGAACUUUCCAGAGAUGGAUUGGUGCCUUCGGGAACUUAGAUACAGGUGCUGCAUGGCUGUCGUCAGCUCGUGUCGUGAGAUGUUGGGUUAAGUCCGCAACGAGCGCAACCCUUUUCCUUAUUUGCCAGCGGGUUAAGCCGGGAACUUUAAGGAUACUGCCAGUGACAAACUGGAGGAAGGCGGGGACGACGUCAAGUCAUCAUGGCCCUUACGGCCAGGGCUACACACGUGCUACAAUGGUCGGUACAAAGGGUUGCUACCUCGCGAGAGGAUGCUAAUCUCAAAAAGCCGAUCGUAGUCCGGAUCGCAGUCUGCAACUCGACUGCGUGAAGUCGGAAUCGCUAGUAAUCGCGGAUCAGGAUGCCGCGGUGAAUACGUUCCCGGGCCUUGUACACACCGCCCGUCACACCAUGGGAGCUUGUUGCACCAGAAGUAGGUAGUCUAACCGCAAGGAGGACGCUUACCACGGUGUGGCCGAUGACUGGGGUGAAGUCGUAACAAGGUAGGCGUAGAUGA
rnacentral:rRNA from 1 species